UUUAAAUUAGUUUACUCAAAUUCGUAUGACGUUUAACGCAUUGUUAUAGAUCUGAGGCGCCGCGAGUAAACAAACCUAUGCGCGCAAAAUUUUUUAGUGUCAUUUUUCUGAAUAAUUUUAAAUAGCAAACGACAUUUUACCGAUAUUUACACUUUUCUAACUAUUUUUUAAAAAAAAAAUGCAAUUACCUAUAAAACUCUUAAAAUUUAGAAAAAGCUCAUCUGUUUUUUAAUGUCAAAUUUGAUAUGUGAGCGCUUCUUAAUAAGAACUUAUUAUUAAUAAAACUUAGACGUCAAAAAUCAUAUUUUCGUUAAAAAGUGAUAUAUAGUUUGCAAGAAUAAAUACUACAAAGUGAAACGAAUUUUUUACAAGUUGUAGGUAAAACUGUAGAUCAUUUAUAGAUCAAACUUUUAGAAAUGAAAACUUAAGUUUACUUGCGGUCUCUUUUCCCUACACUUAGUUUUACAAGUUGUAGGUAAAACUGUGGAUCAUUUAUAGCUUUUUACUUAGUUUUCACUAUUAUUUUAAGGAUUUAAAUUCCUUAUUUUUGUCGAAAAUUUAAACUUUUUUUGUCUCACUUACAAUUUUGUUUUGAUAUUUUUCUGUGAUUAACUUUUCCAAGUAAAAAUUUCGCUUGAGUUUAAAGAUCAUAAAGUGAAAAGGUUUUAAGUGAAAAGGUUUUAUUUAUUUUUUUUUUUUUAGAGUUUUUAGGUGUUGUGGAAUGUUUAAAUAUUUCUUAGGCUAGGCGAGACUAUCGCUAUUUUGGCGCAAAAUCAGGUGAAAAUAUUCUCAAGUUAAAAAUAAUUAAUAUCUGUUCUCUAUUGUUUUGCUAUUGUUAAUUGUAACAAUGAAUAGCGCGGAUUUCUUGGCUUUUAAACAAAACAUUAAACGUUAAACGUCCAUCUAUUAAUACGUCUUUGGUUUACUGUUUAAAACAAACUAAGUUAUUGUUGCGUAAUAGAAGACGUAAUAGAAGUUGCCGAUGUUGUUUUUGGGAACUAUUUGUUGGAGAUGAAAAACUAUUAAAUAAGAGGCAAGGCAACAGUAUUUACAUAAAUGGAACGAGAUACCGAAACAUUUUUGUCGAUGGCUUGUUAAAAAUUGUAAUUUUUAAUCAUUGCAAAUUUUUUAAAUUCAAUGACUUGUUUUAUACUAAAUUAUCUCAAA